CAGGCUGAGACAGAAAACAUGCACGUGGAUCAGAAUCCUGGAAAAAGUGACUGGAUACCUUUUGACUUCCACUGGAUAGAGCAGAAUUAAAAUGAAAUCCAGCAAAAAGGAUUUUACUUUGAUGCAGAAUUGAUAUUUGAACGAGAGCCAACUGAAAAUGAGAAGUUAUGUGGUAUGAAUAUCAUAAUCUUUGAUGAAUGAAAACUUCAGUGGAUGCAAAUCAUGCUUUAAAAGAUGGAAUCUCAUCCUGCAAAUCUUUAUAUUGCUUUAAUAUAGAUUGGAGUGAGCUUUACUAAAGAAGAAGCAGAUUGCUGAACUCUUUUUGGACAAGCCCACAGCUGGAACACCCCUCAUCCUCCACACCAACAUCCCUGCAGGACCUGCUCCGAGCGAGGCUGUGGGAAAUCCAGCUUACCACGGUGGAGAGGUACCUCCCUCUAAAAGCAAGCAGCCCCUUUUGCCAGCAAGGAUUCCACUAAAAUGGAACCCCACUAAAAUGGAACACCACUAAAAUAGAACCCCACUAAAAUGGAACCCCACCAAAUCCUGGACGUGUGCUUUCCUUGGCUGCAGCACAGGCAGCCCACCCUGCACUUGGGAAAUUGUUACAGGAGCAAUUUUAGCUGCUGUGAAUUGCACUGGAAAUGUUUUCUAUG